AGUAGUUCCAGGGAAAAAAACUCCCGCCUGAUUUGUAUCGCAGCUGCACGAGGUUCCUUUUGAAGUUUUUUUGUGUUUUCCUACGGCGUGCGAGCUUCCAAUUGUUUUAGAUGUGGCAGCGUGGAAGCUGGUUGUUGUUUCGUUGAGGCGCGGCGGAAGCAUAUUCUUCCGAUUUUUUCUUCAUGCGAUUAUUCCGUUUUCCUGAUGGCAGCGCUAAUCUCUGCGGUGUCCGGCAGUUUUUUUUGCGUUGUGGAGCUAGAGGUGGCUCAAUGUUUUCUUCCUUGUAUUGAGAUUAACCGCUGGUGUUAAAGUCCUGUCGACAUCAGCUCGUGUGGAGGUCCUGUCGUAAAAAGAACGGAGGCGGAGGACUUCGCAACAGUAGGAACUCCUUCUUGCUGCAGCUGUUUUCGCCACUAGUCCUGCUGGCGGCUCGCGGAUUGUGCGUCGGCGAAGGCAUUGGCCUGUCUUGCUCCCUGUCUGGUGGAUCUAGUGUUAUCGACAUUGGCGGGUGCUGCAAUAAUUCCUAAUUCAAUCUAGCUCCGAGUUUGGCGGAAAUGUUGCAUGUUGUUUGGCUUGGCCAGCGAGGAGUGGCUUAAUCCGUAUCGACAUGUUCAGGGCAUCUUGCGGGACUGCUACAAAAUCAUUGUGGCGACACACAUAGACUUGUCCAUUUGCCAGGUUGUUAGUGUUGGAACAGGGGCUCUGGUGCGGCGAAGUGUACAUUGAAUUGUAGUGCAAGGUUGGUUGACAUUUAGUCGAAGAGAGGUCGAAGAAGUGGAGGAUGUCCUAAUCUACUUGGUGGUGAGUGUCAAGAGUUCAACUCCCGGAGGUUAGUAACGGCUCGAUUGGCAUUGUGGUGAGCAUUGCUAGAAUGGAGCUAUGUUGGCUGGCAUUUAACUUUAAUCAAGCGCUCUUUUGUCGUCUUGGCCACAAUUUUCUCAAGCAGUGAGAGCAAUGACAAUUGUAUUGCGUUGUUUUACUUAUCGCAUUUCUUUAUGCUCUUACAAGCAUUAUUGCUGAGCUCGUGUUAGUGAACUUCAAUUGUAGUGGUUAUCCGGGAAUAGUCGCGCUAAUCCAGUCUUGAUCAAGGCACCAAGUCAUCAUGUUGUUGAGAGAUUCUUGUACCGUGAUCUCUUAUUCCGUGAGGGUUGCUGCAGUGGAUGCCAGUUGUGUUCUAGUUCUAUUGCAGGUUGUGGUAGCACCGUCAAUUGUUAAUCCUUCGGUUUCUUCUUCAAUUGCUCUAAGGGGGUUAAAAUUAUGGUGGUUGUCAGCGUUGACUGUGCCAGCCUACGUGAGCGAUGCAGGUUGCUACUGAAGUUGCUGUGGAAUUCUAGAAGUGAUCGUUGUGCUGCGAAGUGCAAUUCGACUAUAUUGUCGUGCUCCUUGGUUUUUUUUAUUUUUCCUUCAGUAAAGUGUUCGUAGUGACUGAUGUACUUAGCGGUGUACUUGAGACGGAUCGUGUUGGGUCGAAGACGCACAUCACGGUGAAGCAGCGGAACCAGGUAGUGGUAAGUGGAUCGGAAGUGUUCACCGACGCCAACGGCUGUUUUGUUUCCAGCCUGUGUGGGAAGCGCUCCUAUAGCGGAACAGACUGCAACGUAGGGACCAAGCUGCCUUCAAGGAGCGUACUUCGUGGAUGAAGAAGGUGGACGAACAAGUGAACUUCUACACUAGGUGAAUUAGGUUAGAUUCAAUUGGAUUUAGGUUAAAAGAAUUUUAGGUUAAAACGGAUGAUUUUGUAUAUGGAUGAAAAUAUUAAUGCAUUAUAUGAAUAGCUUAAAUA